rnacentral:misc_RNA from 1 species
GAAAUGCGAUAAGUAAUGUGAAUUGCAGAAUUCCGUGAAUCAUCGAAUCUUUGAACGCACAUUGCGCCCCCUGGCAUUCCGGGGGGCAUGUCUGUCCGAGCGUCAUUUCUGCCCUCAAGCACGGCUUGUGUGUUGGGUGUGGUCCCCCCGGGGACCUGCCCGAAAGGCAGCGGCGACGUCCGUCUGGUCCUCGAGCGUAUGGGGCUCUGUCACUCGCUCGGGAAGGACCUGCGGGGGUUGGUCACCACCAUAUUUCACCACGGUUGACCUCGGAUCAGGUAGGAGUUACCCGCUGAACUUAAGC